rnacentral:rRNA from 1 species
GAUAAACGCUGGCGGCGUGCAUUAGACAUGCAAGUCGAACGGACUUUUCGGGGCUUGCUCUGAAAGUUAGUGGCGGACGGCUGAGUAACGCGUGGGUGACCUACCCGAAGUGGGAUAACUGCCGAAGGUGGCUAAUACCGCAUGUGAUCGUUUGUUCAUUCGGACGAUCAAAGCAGUAAUGCGCUUUGGGAGGGCCUGCGUCCGAUUAGCUCGUUGGUGGGGUAAUGGCUCACCAAGGCGACGAUCGGUAGGUGGUCUGAGAGGACGAUCACCCAGACUGGGACUGAGACACGGCCCAGACUCCUACGGGAGGCAG